rnacentral:misc_RNA from 1 species
UCCGAGUUGACCCCGGCAGUCUCCCAUGAGUCCCCGGCAUAACCCGCUGGCAACAUGGGAUAAGGGUUGCGCUCGUUGCGGGACUUAACCCAACAUCUCACGACACGAGCUGACGACAGCCAGGCACCACCUGUGACUCUGCCCCAAAGGGGAAGAUGUGUUUCCACACCGGUCAGAGACAUGUCAAGCCCAGGUAAGGUUCUUCGCGUUUCGUCGAAUUAAACCACAUGCUCCGCUGCUUGUGCGGGCCCCCGUCAAUUCCUUUGAGUUUCGGUCUUGCGACCGUACUCCCCAGGCGGAGUGUUUCACGCGUUAGCUGGGCCCCUGAUCCACGUAGACCAAGGGCGAACACUCAUCGUUUACGGCAUGGACUAC